rnacentral:rRNA from 1 species
AGAGUUUGAUCCUGGCUCAGAUUGAACGCUGGCGGCAUGCCUUACACAUGCAAGUCGAACGGCAGCGCGGGAGCAAUCCUGGCGGCGAGUGGCGAACGGGUGAGUAAUACAUCGGAACAUGUCCAGUAGUGGGGGGAUAGCCCGGCGAAAGCCGGAUUAAUACCGCAUACGAUCUACGGAUGAAAAGCGGGGGGAUCGCA